rnacentral:rRNA from 1 species
GAUGGAGGAUGCAAGCGUUAUCCGGAUUUAUUGGGUUUAAAGGGUGCGUAGGCGGCCUUGUAAGUCAGUGGUGAAAACCUGCAGCUCAACUGUAGGCGUGCCAAUGAAACUGUGAGGCUUGAGUGACGUUGAGGCAGGCGGAAUGUGUAGUGUAGCGGUGAAAUGCUUAGAUAUUACACAGAACACCGAUUGCGUAGGCAGCUUGCUAAAGGUUAACUGACGCUGAUGCACGAAAGCGUGGGGAUCGAACAGG